rnacentral:misc_RNA from 1 species
UUUCCGUAGGUGAACCUGCGGAAGGAUCAUUAUUGUAUAACCGAGGUGCUACGGCUGUCGCUGACCCGAAAGGUCGUGCACGCCCGAGUGCCCUCACACACAUCCAUCUCACCCCUAUGUGCACCACCGCGUGGGUCCCCCUUUGGCUUGUUCGGAGGGGGGCUUACGUUUUCACACAAACUUUGUAUGCAGUGUAGAAUGUAUUUUUUGUUUUUGCGAUCACGCAAUCAAUACAACUUUCAACAACGGAUCUCUUGGCUCUC